rnacentral:tRNA from 1 species
CAGGCAGUAGCUCGAUGGUAAAGCUCCCCGCUUCUUAUGCGGGAAGACCUAGGUUCGAUUCCCGGCUGCUUAC